CCUACGGGUGGCAGCAGUAGGGAAUAUUGCUCAAUGGGGGAAACCCUGAAGCAGCAACGCCGCGUGGAGGAUGAAGGUCUUCGGAUUGUAAACUCCUUUUGUUAGAGAAGAUAAUGACGGUAUCUAACGAAUAAGCACCGGCUAACUCCGUGCCAGCAGCCGCGGUAAUAGGGAGGGUGCAAGCGUUACUCGGAAUCACGGGGCGUAAAGAGCGCUUAGGCGGGGUAGCAAGUCAGAUGUGAAAUCCUAUGGUUUAACCAUAGAACUGCAUUUGAAACUGUUGUUCUAGAGUAUGGGAGUGGUAGGUGGAAUUCUUGGUGUAGGGGUAAAGUCCGUAGAGAACAAAGGGAAUACUCAUUGCGAGGACGACCUGCUAGAACGUAACUGACGCUGAUGCGCGAGAGCGUGGGGAGCAAACAGGAUUAGAUACCCCAGUUC
rnacentral:rRNA from 1 species